GCGACCUCUCGCCGAGAGCGACUGCGAUUGAAAUCAAAUCGUUGUUCUGCUGGCUCUCCCCCAACACAGCGACGCAUCAAAGCCUGCGUUGUUCGCGUCUUUUGAUGUAAAGGACGCGAGCAGAUCAACACUGAAAAAGCCGCAGCACUGCUGGAGGCGGGAACCGACGGUUUCAUCAUCCGCCUUAACGCUGUACCACGUUAAAUCAGGCCUUCUGCCUCGUACCGCAGUCCUACUGCGGUUCUGCUGCUGUGGAACCGGCACCAUUUUGGUUUUAAAGAGGAUGAUCCUACAGAAAGCCAUCGAGGCGGAGCGGGCUGCAGUAGGGACGGAAAAUCUGUGGUCAUUUGCUGCCAUCUAUCGGCAAUAAUGAGCAAGAAGUCAAAUCUAAAACGGCGUCCUGUCGAAAAUGCAAAGCAUUGCAACUCAGGCCGUGGAAGUAGGGUUAGAGGUGGCACUGAGGGCGAGAUCUGCAGAUGCAGAACGCAUCCUUUCAACAGGAUUGAAAAAAAGCAAUCCUGCCUCUCAAAUAAGUUUUCUUGUUGUGUUCUCUUAUCUAUUCUAGCACAUCUUCAAGCUGGAAAUGCAUCUUGAGAACUUCCUGGUUCAGAGAUGCUCACAUCUGCUGCCUCCUCCUCCUGUCUUCUUUGCUACAAGAAGCCAGUUCAAUAUUUUUUCCCCAAUUUACCAUAACACCUUUCCAUUCAUUCCCUAGCUGACAUCGAGCUUCUCGUUAUCUCAUAACGACAAAAAGAGAAGACAUCACAUGCAGCCCAAAGAACGCCAAAAGACAGCACCACGAAACCGCAGGACUUCUGGCUAUUAGCACUUUCCUUCUAUUGGAACAGCAACUUCUUAAACACCACAGUCUCUAAGCAUUAGAUCAAGACAAGACAGGGGUUCUGACCGAAAGGGCUUCAACAAUACAGUUCCUACUGGCCACCAGUCAGCUCAUCUAGAAGAGACUUAUAAAGGAAGCAUAACACAUGUGGAAGUACCAACAAGUAAAGAUCUAAGCUUUGUGUAACUCUCCUUGUUUUCUUCUUCUGCAGUGUAGCUCUUAAGGUAGGAGCAUUGUCACCAGAGGGUGAAAAUUAUACUUGAGCAAGCUUAAGCUCUGAUGCUGAGUUAAUAACACUUGAAGUAUUUCUACAUUCAAAUAAACACUCCUGAUGCAACUUCCCCAUCUGCUGACUUCUUCUGGCCAAGCUUAAGCACUCUGUAGAAAACCACAGAAGGGGCUUCUGCUGGGAGAUGGCAUCUGGGUGUGAAAUUAGCAAGCCAGAAAUGUAAAGUAGUGCUGUGCAAAACUCUCAUGUUAAAAUGCAACAUGAAAACUUUCCUUUAGCUGUACCAUAAGUUUAAAAAAAAAAAAAAAAUGUCCUGGUAUACUUUAAAACUGCAAAACAUGAGAUUGAGGAAGAUAGAUAUAAAGUCCUUGAGGUCAAAUUUGCAAUAUACCCAUAGCACAGUCAGGUGGGCUGGUUACAGCCACCUGUUUCCUGAUCCAUUUGUAAUGAGAGACUCAAUAGAUCUGUGUGGGAGGACCUCCACCCCUGUGCAGUGGCCCAUUUAAGCAAGGGAAGUGUUAUGCAGGGGAAGAACCAUGUCUGCACAGAUCUAAUUAUAGGAGUGCAGCCAAAUUUUGUGUUUACUGGACUUAAAUUUAUCCCCCUUUUGCUCUAAAAUAUAACCUAUUUGCAUAAAGUAAUACAAGUUCUAGAGUGACAGAACUGUAAACUCAUUAUCUGAGUACAGCAAGAUGGUGUUGUGUAAACUCUGUGAUACUCUGCUUUUUCCAAACAGAUGCUGGGAGAUUCUUCAUGUAGAACAAUGUUAAGUAUUAAAUACCAUGGAAGGCUGCUGCUUGAUUAAAGCCCUUACUCACUAUGUGUUCAUUCUUUCUAGGGUAUGAGCGUCCAAGCUUGUGGCUUGCCUGGGUCACACAGAAAAGAGGAAUUGUCUUGUGCUGCAUCUACAUCUGUUGCUCCAAAAGUAAUGCCUCCU